AUUGAACGCUGGCGGCAGGCCUAACACAUGCAAGUCGAGCGGCAGCACGGGUACUUGUACCUGGUGGCGAGCGGCGGACGGGUGAGUAAUGCCUAGGAAUCUGCCUGGUAGUGGGGGAUAACGCUCGGAAACGGACGCUAAUACCGCAUACGUCCUACGGGAGAAAGCAGGGACCGUUCGGGCCGUUGCGCUAUCAGAUGAGCCUAGGUCGGAUUA
rnacentral:rRNA from 1 species